GUUAUGACUCUAGCUUUUUCUCUAGCAGUCCCACAGCCAGAGCAAACUCCAGGAGAGAGUUAAGAUAGAAACCUGGCUUCCCAAGGAGUUCGAGAGAGCAUAAGCAAGACUAGCCUCCUUCACCGGGCUUCAUAAAAGAAGGGAUAUUUUUCCCGUAAAAUUUCCUAUAAUACAGAAUUCAUCACAGAAAAUAUCCUAAAAGCAGCUAGCUAGCUAGAGACAGAGCUGAGUAGGUUUUUUCUUCUGAUAGAAUCAGUAGCAGUAGUACAGUAGACUUUCAUCAAAGUUAAGGCGUGGCCUGCUCUUGUCAGCUUUCACUCCGUUCAGACGAUUGUGGCUUUAUUAACAUAGCAGGCUAAGGGUAGCUAUCAGAUAAUGCUAUCCAAUGGACUAGAAACCUUCAAUCGAACUACUUCAUUCAAUCCACUUCCGUUCGUUGUGAUGUCAUAGUUUUACUGAGCAUUUCGAUGUUAUCCAAAGCCCCCAGAUACCGCGGGGGGGUAUUAGUCGAUACCAGGCCCACUUCCCUAAGUGAAGUGGGAAGUGCGGCCUGGGAUCGAGGCUAAAGCAAGACCAGAAGAGAAAGUGGUAGCAAUAUACUAGCAUGCACCUUUCUUUUGUGCAACGAUAUCCGACAUGGAAUGAUAAUGAUCACCAAGGUGAUUGUAGCGCAUAUGCAAACGGUGUAUACAUUCGAGGUUAAGCCGUCUUGAUUGUAGCGCAUGUGCAAAUGGUGUAUACAUUCGAGGUUAAGCCGCCUUCACCGUAGAUAGAGUCUCUUACCUCGAAUAUAUACUCUAUACCGCCCCACCAGAGGAGGUACAGGACUAGAAGCUAUCUGUGCCACCGCCACCAAACAAACAGCCUCCGCCACAUUUGAGGUUAAGCCUGCCGCCUCCUAUAAAACAGCCUCCUUUUGGCACUACUCACCCCUCAUAGUAUGCAGCUCUACAAUUCAGUAAAUUGUUGUGAUUGAAUCAUCCGUUGUUUUCUGUCUAUGCUCAUUUUCUUGACAUGAUAGCUUUGUAGGACUUUGUUGUAGCUCUUAAAUUUCCUCUCAAGCUACAAACUAUUGCUUCUCAAAAUGGCCGCCCACCCAUAAAUUGGCCGGUUCCCAAAUAACUUUUAUCACAUUUUUUCCUUGGCAGGUACACCGUCUGGCUGGGUAUAUGGGGGGAUAUAGCAAUUGGCAAACCAAUUGCGAGCAAGCAGGAAUCUCAUUGGGAAUGAUACUGAUAGUGACUGGUAGUGAAGAUAAAAACAGUCCUGCUGUGGGUUACCAUUGUGGCAUAGUCACACUCCACAGCCACACACUCUACACUCCUCGCAGUACCACGAUGUGUCUGUUCUGUUUCCCCUUUCGCUACAAUGGGAACAUCUUCCUCGACGUCGUCAGUCCAAUCCUUCGGGAAAUGUUGCAAUUGAAGUGGCACCACCAGUACGACCUGCUCGACGCCGACUACAAUAUUGAGCAAUGACAAUAUUGAGCAAUGAGCUUCUUGGCUCCUUGAUGUUCUUUAGUUUCGGCCCCUGACCCCUGUCAACUCACCCAUAUGCUGGUUGUACGCCAUUAUUGACUCUGGACAAGAUACGGAGAUGCGGGUUCCAUCCUUCUGUCGUCGCAGAACAGAACUGGUAGCUGCGGGCUGGGUGGUUGUAGAGAGGACAUUGACUCCAUACACAGCUCGCCUGCAACUCAAUUCAAGUCCUGUUUUAAUGAUAAACCCAGUCUACAGUCCCUUGCCAUUAAGACCUGCAUCCUGAACUAUUUAUUUGGUCCGCUGCCCUUCUUGGAUCGGGCUACUCCGAACAGAUUUUGACAGCGAUCUAGUACGUGCUUAAGGCUUGCAGUUUUAGUUUCGUAGUACAGCCGAGGGGUUGCUUUAUUCAGAUGACGGAGUAUCUGACCUCUGCGUGUGAGGGGACUUUCAAACAUGGUUUAGACUCGAGUACAGAUGAUGACCCUACAGCUGUGCUCAGAGAGCCACGGAAACGCAUCAUUGAUGAUGACAAGGCUAUUCAAAGACUGGUGAAAACCUUGGCCCGUACACACAACCAAGCGACGAAGAAUCUAUAUCACAAUGACGUAGCUAAGACAUUCGCAAAGGCACUACUCGAUUUUUCCCUUGGGGUGGACAGUAUGUUUGAGGACAAAUUCAGAACAAUGUCGAGUACCAAACCAACAGUCUAACGUGGAGAGGGAGGGUGUUGUUGAAAGACAAAUCCAUUUGUAUUGAUAUUGAAAAUUAUUUUGUGUGUUACUGGAUGGACCUUGUUGGAAAAUCAGCUGGUUAUCGAACAAACAUACAGGGUGUAACCGAUGUAGCGUGCUAAAAAUCAAAUUGUAAUCGCAGAGGGAAAAAAUGAAGGUAGUGGUGUACACGCCGGACAGGGGCAGCUGUUGAUUGCAAUGUUAGUAAGCUUUCUGAAGAUGGACACGAGGCAUUCAGUGUGGGGGUUCACUUUUUCACCGAAAAUGUAAUAUGCACACUCCGGUGUUACCACUUUUUCACCGAAAAUGUCGACUAUUGUCCGAGUUAAACUAUUGGGCGGUGUGAUUCACGUCACAACUACUCCAACAUCCAUAAAAACAUAAAAAACCUGAGAAGCCUGACAUCUAUUUUACUAGCCUGCUUCUAUGCACAUUUGGAGGUGGAGGCAGCAAUAGCAAUGGACGAGGCAAUGCAGUAGUACAUCCCUUGACUGACCCCGUUGGAAGCAGUGAAAACUCGGCAAUUAUCUGAACUUAUUUUUUGUUUAUUAGGAUGUGUCAAAUUUAUGCAAAUUUAUGCAGGC